rnacentral:rRNA from 1 species
AUGACAGUGAUAUGGGUAACGGUACCGUCAGCUGAAGCACAACAAGUUCAAGGGGGAACUGAUGCUAUCAGAUUAGAGUGCCAAUUGGGUGGUCAUGCAGUGGUGCUCCUGGUGGAUUUAGGUAGUUCUCAUUCUUUCAUCAGUGCUUGGUUGGAUGCUCACAUUGUAGGCCAACAAUUACUGCCUUCACAACAAACUGUCAGGAUUGCAGGUGGAGGUACACUUCCUUGUACUCACAUCAUUCCUGCUUGUGCCUGGUCUGCUUCUGGUCAUGAGUUCAAGUGUGACUUUAAGGUAUUACCUCUACAACAUCAUGAUGGAAUUUUGGGAAUGGAUUGGAUGUCCUUCUUGUGUACUACGCAAGUCAACUGGUUAGAGAAGUGGCUAGCCUUUGAUAAUUACGGCCGUCCGGUGUUCUUACAAGGAUGUCCUCCAGAAACUUUUAGUUGGACCGUGGUGGAUCUCCAUUUAGUUCAGCCAGAGAAUGUCAAAGAGGAUGUUGUAGCCCUUCCGACACAAUUCCAGGAACUAUUAGACCACUGCAGUAUUCGCACCACCAGCUGGACUUCCCCCUCUACACAGUUGUGA